rnacentral:rRNA from 1 species
CGCAAGCCUGACGGAGCAAGACCGCGUGGGGGAGGAAUGCCUUAGGGUUGUAAACCCCUUUUAUCUGGGAAGAAACUAUUGUCAAAGAUAGCUGACGGUACCAGAUGAAUAAGCCUCGGCUAACUCCGUGCCAGCAGCCGCGGUAAUACGGAGGAGGCAAGCGUUAUCCGGAUUUAUUGGGCGUAAAGCGUUCGCAGGUGGUUCUUCAAGUCUGCUGUUAAAGACAGUGGCUCAACUACUGAAAGGCAGUAGAUACUGAAGGACUAGAGUGCGGUAGGGGCAGAGGGAAUUCCCGGUGUAGCGGUGAAAUGCGUAGAUUUCGGGAAGAACAUCGGUGGCGAAAGCGCUCUGCUGGGCCGCAACUGACACUCAGGGACGAAAGCUAGGGGAGCG